rnacentral:rRNA from 1 species
CCUACGGGAGGCAGCAGUGGGGAAUAUUGGGCAAUGGAGGCAACUCUGACCCAGCAAAGCCGCGUGAAUGAUGAAGGUCCUCGGAUUGUAAAGUUCCUUUUUAAGGGAAGAAGAAAGUGACGGUACCUCAGGAAUAAGCCUCGGCUAACUACGUGCCAGCGGCCGCGGCAAUACGUAGGACGCAAGCGUUAUCCGGAAGGACUGGGCGUAAAGGGUGCGUAGGUGGUUUGACAAGUUAGUAGCGCAACUCCGCAGCUCAACUUCGGAACUACUACUAAAACUGUUGGACUUGAGUGCAGGAGAGGUAAUCGGAAUUCCUGGUGUAGCGGUGGAAUGCGUAGAUAUUAGGAGGAACACCGGUGGCGAAGGCGGAUUACUAGACUGUAACUGACACUGAGGCACGAAAGCGUGGGGAGCAAACAGGAUUAGAUACCCCAGUAGUC